CGAAUCACUGAUCGUGUCGGGUGUCAUUCGUUCCAGAAAUCGAAGGCCCCGAAGAGUCCGUGUACGCCGGCGGCGUCUUCAAGCUCAAGAUCCAGAUUCCCGAACGCUACCUGUUUCAGCCUCCGAGCGUGAUGUUCCAGACGCCGAUUUACCACCCCAACAUCGACAACGGCGGCAGGAUUUGCCUCGACAUCCUCAACCUCCCGCCCAAAGUGAGUCCCCCUUUUGGGCUUCUGCACCAGGACGACCGAGGGUUUCUCGUCCGAAUUGCGUUGCCGCGACUUGUGUAGUUUGCGCAUUCCGUCGCGUUCGAAUUAGAUUUUUUCCGCAUUCGGCCAUUGCUGGAUUUAGAUGGGAAUUGCUGGAGUAGUUGCUUGGGGCUCCCAGAUUUCGAGGAAUCACAUUUUCAAGUGAUUGUGCUUGUGGGAGUUGCUUUCUAGGAAAAUGCUCUAUCUUUUGCUGUUGGUCAUAAAGGUGGAUCCGGAGAGGCGCAUAUUCUAGUUCACAAGCCUGAAUUAGCUUUUCAUUUAGUGCAAACGACUUUCAAUCCCAUUUCUUUUUCAUAUGCAGGGAAAAUGGGGCUUGCCAAUUAGCACUUAAAUUUAGCGCCUCAUGGUAUUCUUCUUGUGUCGAUGUAACAUGUCAUUCUGUUAACUGAUAGUUUUUGCGUUGACUGCAAUGCUGUAUGUCAUUCUGUUAACUCCCUCUUGUUUCUCACGGUUGUGUCAAUAUUAGCUGCAUUGGGCUUCUUGCUUUAUGGAGGAAGGUUGUUUUUCAUGCUGAGGCGUUUUCCUAUUGAAUCUAAAGGAAGAAGGAAUAAGCUCCAUGAGGUGCUUUUCCUUUCAUUUUAAAUCAGAAUUUAGUCCUGUCACUUCUUUCUGCUUCUUGCCUUUGUUUAAGAGACAUAUUUUAAUUAUUGUGCACAUCUGUAAUUAUUACUUUGGAGUUAAAGUGAAAAUAUGAACUGUAUUGCUCGUGGUGGUGCUUGGUGUUGUCACUAAUAUCUUUGUUAGAAACUGGAAAUUUUUGGGA